UUUUAUUCUGCUUUUCAUAACACAUUUGACUUUCAUGGUCUUUUUAAAGACUUACACUGAGUAAAAAGGUGCCAACAUGCGGGUAUUAUGUAUUUUAUUCUGUUGUUUAAUGUGUAAAUGAUAUUUGGCCACUAUAUAAUUUUUUUUUUACAACCCUGGUAUCUUGCUUCAAAACAAAACAUGCAGGUGAUGUGUGAAAAAAGAUGAGCUCUGUUUUAUUGUCUUGUUUUCAUUUUUGUGACGACUCACAGAAGUAGCAUAAUGUAGCACAUCAAUGGUUUUAGCCCUGUACCAAGAACACUAUAAUGAUUAUUUUAUUUUUUUGUAAUGAUUAUUUGUUUAUUAUUUCCAAGCCUUACAAGAUAUUGUUGCUGUCCUCUUUGUGUCCUUUCUGUGUCUGGUAUGUGUGUUUGGCGUUGGCUGAUGACUAACUGAAGGGAGGGUAAAUGGUUGUGUGUUUGGUACUGGUUGAUAGUUAACUGAAGGGAUUGUAGAUGGUUGUGUGUUUUGUGUUGGCUGAUAUGUAACUGAAGGGAUUGUAGAUGGUGGUGUGUGUGGUGUUGGCUGAUAGCUAACUGAAGGGAUUGUAGAUGGUUGUGUGUUUGGUGUUGGCUGAUAUCUAACUGAAGGGGUUGUAGAUGGUUGUGUGUUUGGUGUUGGCUGAUAUCUAACUGAAGGAAUUGUAGAUGGUUGUGGGUUUGGUGUUGGCUGAUAUCUAACUGAAGGAAUUGUAGAUGGUUGUGUGUUUGGUGUUGGCAGAUGGGUAACUGAAGGGAUUGUAGAUGGUUGUGGGUUUGGUGUUGGCAGAUAGCUAACUGAAGGGAUUGUAGACGGUUGUGGGUUCGGUGUUGGCUGAUAUCUAACUGAAGGGAUUGUAGAUGGUUGUGGGUUUGGUGUUCGCUGAUAGUUAACUGAAGGGAUUGUAGAUGGUUGUGUGUUUGGUGUUGGCUGAUAUCUAACUGAAGGGGUUGUAGAUGGUUGUGGGUUUGGUGUUUGCUGAUGGCUAACUAAAGGGACUGUAGAUGGUUGUGUGUUUGGUGUUUGCAGAUAGCUAACUGAAGGGAUUGUAGAUGGUUGUGUUUGGUACUGGCUGAUGGCUAACUGAAAGGAUUGUAGGUGGUUGUGUGUUUGGUGUUCGCUGAUCGCUAACUGAAGGGAUUGUAGAUGGUUGUGUGUUUGGUGUUGGCAGAUAUCUAACUGAAGGGAUUGUAGAUGGUUGUUUGUUUGGUGUUGGCUGAUAGUUAACUGUAUGGAUUGUAGAUGGUUGUGUGCUUGGUGUUUGUUGAUAGUUAACUGAAGGGAUUGUAGAUGGUUGUGUGUUUGGUGUUCGCUGAUAUCGAACUGAAGGGAUUGUAGAUGGUUGUGUGUUUGGUGUUUGCAGAUAUCUAACUGAAGGGAUUGUAGAUGGUUGUGGGUUUGGUGUUGGCUGAUAGCUAACUGAAGGGAUUGUAGAUGGUUGUGGGUUUGGUGUUGGCUGAUAGUUAACUGAAGGGAUUGUAGAUGGUUGUGUGUUUGGUACUGGCUGAUAGCUAACUAAAGGGAUUGUAGAUGGUUGUGGGUUUGGUGUUGGUUGAUAUCUAACUGAAGGGAUUGUAGAUGGUUGUGUGUUUGGUGUUGGAUAAUAGUUAACUGUAUGGAUUAUAGAUGGUUGUGUGUUUGGUGUUUGCUGAUAGCUAACUGAAGGGAUUGUAGAUGGUUGUGUGUUUGGUGUUUGCAGAUAUCUAACUGAAGGGAUUGUAGAUGGUUGUGGGUUUGGUGUUGGCUGAUAGCUAACUGAAGGGAUUGUAGAUGGUUGUGUGUUUGGUGUUGGCUGAUAGUUAACUGAAGGGAUUGUAGAUGGUUGUGUGUUUGGUACUGGCUGAUAGCUAACUAAAGGGAUUGUAGAUGGUUGUGGGUUUGGUGUUGGUUGAUAUCUAACUGAAGGGAUUGUAGAUGGUUGUGUGUUUGGUGUUGGAUAAUAGUUAACUGUAUGGAUUAUAGAUGGUUGUGGGUUUGGUGUUUGCUGAUAGCUAACUGAAGGGAUUGUAGAUGGUUGUGUGUUUGGUGUUUGCAGAUAUCUAACUGAAGGGAUUGUAGAUGGUUGUGGGUUUGGUGUUGGCUGAUAGCUAACUGAAGGGAUUGUAGAUGGUUGUGGGUUUGGUGUUGGCUGAUAGCUAACUGAAGGGAUUGUAGAUGUUUGUGUGUUUGGUGUUCGCUGAUAGCUAACUGAAGGGAUUGUAGAUGGUUGUGUGUUUGGUGUUCGCUGAUAGCUAACUGAAGGGAUUGUAGAUGGUUGUGUGUUUGGUGUUCGCUGAUAGCUAACUGAAGGGAUUGUAGAUGGUUGUGGGUUUGGUGUUCGCUGAUAGCUAACUGAAGGGAUUGUAGAUGGUUGUGGGUUUGGUGUUGGCUGAUAGUUAACUGAAGGGAUUGUAGAUGGUUGUGUGUUUGGUGUUCGCUGAUAGCUAACUGAAGGGAUUGUAGAUGGUUGUGGGUUUGGUGUUCGCUGAUAGCUAGCUGAAGGGAUUGUAGAUGGUUGUGGGUUUGGUGUUGGCUGAUAGUUAACUGAAGGGAUUGUAGAUGUUUGUGUGUUUGGUACUGGCUGAUAGCUAACUAAAGGGAUUGUAGAUGGUUGUGGGUUUGGUGUUGGUUGAUAGUUAACUGAAGGGAUUGUAGAUGGCUGUGUGUUUGGUGUUUGCUGAUAUCGAACUGAAGGGAUUGUAGAUGGUUGUGUGUUUGGUGUUCGCUGAUAUCGAACUGAAGGGAUUGUAGAUGGUUGUGUGUUUGGUGUUUGCAGAUAUCUAACUGAAGGGAUUGUAGAUGGUUGUGUGUUUGGUGUUCGCUGAUAGCUAACUGAAGGGAUUGCAGAUGGUUGUGUGUUUGGUGUUGGCUGAUAUCUAAAUGAAGGGAUUGUAGAUGGUUGUGUGUUUGGUGUUUGCAGAUAUCUAACUGAAGGGAUUGUAGAUGGUUGUGUGUUUGGUGUUCGCUGAUAGCUAACUGAAGGGAUUGCAGAUGGUUGUGUGUUUGGUGUUGGCUGAUAUCUAAAUGAAGGGAUUGUAGAUGGUUGUGGGUUUGGUGUUCGCUGAUAGCUAACUGAAGGGAUUGUAGAUGGUUGUGGGUUUGGUGUUGGCUGAUAGUUAACUGAAGGGAUUGUAGAUGGUUGUGUGUUUGGUGUUGGAUAAUAGUUAACUGUAUGGAUUAUAGAUGGUUGUGUGUUUGGUGUUUGCUGAUAGCUAACUGAAGGGAUUGUAGAUGAUUGUGUGUUUGGUGUUUGCAGAUAUCUAACUCAAGGGAUUGUAGAUGGUUGUGGGUUUGGUGUUGGCUGAUAGCUAACUGAAGGGAUUGUAGAUGGUUGUGUGUUUGGUGUUUGCAGAUAUCUAACUGAAGGGAUUGUAGAUGGUUGUGUGUUUGGUGUUGGCUGAUAGCUAACUGAAGGGAUUGUAGAUGGUUGUGUGUUUGGUGUUGGCUGAUAGUUAACUGAAGGGAUUGUAGAUGGUUGUGUGUUUGGUACUGGCUGAUAGCUAACUAAAGGGAUUGUAGAUGGUUGUGGGUUUGGUGUUGGUUGAUAUCUAACUGAAGGGAUUGUAGAUGGUUGUGUGUUUGGUGUUGGAUAAUAGUUAACUGUAUGGAUUAUAGAUGGUUGUGGGUUUGGUGUUUGCUGAUAGCUAACUGAAGGGAUUGUAGAUGGUUGUGUGUUUGGUGUUUGCAGAUAUCUAACUGAAGGGAUUGUAGAUGGUUGUGGGUUUGGUGUUGGCUGAUAGCUAACUGAAGGGAUUGUAGAUGGUUGUGGGUUUGGUGUUGGCUGAUAGCUAACUGAAGGGAUUGUAGAUGUUUGUGAGUUUGGUGUUUGCUGAUAGCUAACUGAAGGGAUUGUAGAUGGUUGUGGGUUUGGUGUUUGCUGAUAUCUAACUGAAGGGAUUGUUGAUGGUUGUGGGUUUGGUGUUUGCUGAUAUCUAACUGAAGGGAUUGUAGGUGGUUGGCAGCACGUUUGGUCUUCAACCAACCAAAACGGGCACAUGUCACUCCGCUGCUCAUUGAGCUCCACUGGCUACCGGUUGCUGCUCGCAUCAAAUUCAAAGUGCUUACAAUCGCCUACAAGGUGAUGAC